rnacentral:rRNA from 1 species
UACGUAGGGUGCGAGCGUUAAUCGGAAUUACUGGGCGUAAAGCGUGCGCAGGCGGCUUCGCAAGUCAGACGUGAAAUCCCCGGGCUUAACCUGGGAAUGGCAUUUGGGACUGCAAGGCUUGAGUGCGGCAGAGGAGACUGGAAUUCCCGGUGUAGCAGUGAAAUGCGUAGAUAUCGGGAGGAAUACCGAUGGCGAAGGCAGGUCUCUGGGCUGACACUGACGCUCAUGCACGAAAGCGUGGGGAGCAAACAGG